UCGCUGCACAGUUGUCACGGUAGUAGUAAACAAACUAACAAUAGACAACAAAUAAAUACAGUAAAUAAAAUAUUUAUAUCUAAUUUAUCGGGAGAGGGAUCUGAGAUCGAGGCUUUGAGCUUUACACUUUGCAGCCUGUUAGGAAUCGACUUGAAAGAAACAUGGGACGUUUUGUCUUUAGUUGUGAGCAAUAUCACAUCGGCUAGAGAUAGGUUAUCCAGAUAAAAGACGUGCCCACACCAUUUUUUCUGUAUCUUAUAGAGAUAAUAUAAAUAUGGAAACUCAAAAAGUAAUGGUUCUAUCUAACAAGAGUAUACACAGGUAGUAAUUUGCACAAGUUGUCAGUGAAAAAAUGGAGGUGAAUCCAUGCAUAGAUGCACCAGCUUCCUCUGAUACAACUCGUAG